AGUGAACGCUGGCGGUAGGCCUAACACAUGCAAGUCGAACGGCAGCACAGUAAGAGUGCGCUCCUACGGGUGGCGAGUGGCGGACGGGUGAGGAAUAGAUAGGAAUCUAAUUUGUCGUGGGGGACAACGUAGGGAAACUUACGCUAAUACCUCAUACGAUCUACGGGUGGAAUCAGGGGAUCUUCGGACCUUGGGUGAUAGAAUGAGCUGAUGUCGGAUUAGCUAGUUGGCGGGGUAAAGGCCCACCAAGGCGACGAUCCGUAGCGGGUCUGAGAGGAUGAUCAGCCACACUGGAACUGAGACACGGUCCAGACUCCUACGGGAGGCAGCAGUAGGGAAUAUUCGACAAUGGGCGCAAGCCUGACCCAGCCAUGCCGCGUGAGUGAAGAAGGCCUUCGGAUUGUAAAGCCCUUUUGUUGGGAAAGAAAAGCUGCAGACUAAACCCCCGCUGUUCUGACGGUACCCAAAGAAUAAGCACCGGCUAACUUCGUG
rnacentral:rRNA from 1 species